rnacentral:rRNA from 1 species
AGAGCGAACGCUGGCGGCGUGCUUAACACAUGCAAGUCGAGUGCGCAGCUUCCUGUAGCAAUACAGGAAGCCGGCGCACGGCGCACGGGUGCGUAACACGUGGGUAACCUGCCCUCCAAAGGGGGAUAACCCCGCGAAAGCGGGGCUAAUACCGCAUGACAUUCCAGAGACUUCGGUAUUUGGAAUCAAAGCCCGCAAGGGCGUUGGAGGAGGGGCCCGCGGCCGAUUAGCUUGUUGGCGAGGUAAUGGCUCACCAAGGCAAUGAUCGGUA